rnacentral:lncRNA from 1 species
GUUCCAGAGACCCAAAUAGAGGUAGAAAACAAUGGGAAAAAAAAAUGCAAAGAGCAUUAGAGAAGAAUCGAGAAACAUGAGGAAAAAGAGAGAGAAAAGAGGGGAAGAGAAACAACAAAUAGAAUUGUAAAUAAACAGGGAAAGGAGCAGCAACAUUGAUGUAAACAGGGUCGAAUUAUGCUUCUCGAUUGGGGUUGAUUCUUGACUGCAACAAGGUUACACCAAAUUGUAGUAGCUCAGGUAUAUGGAUUUUGUUUUCAUCAUUAUGGUUAUUGGAAGCAAUUAGACCCAAGAAGCAGGGCAAGCCCUAAGGAAGAAAGGAAAUAGGUUAAUUUGAUUAUGUGAACAAGAAUUUCAUCAGAAAAUAAUUGGAAUUUUACGUGAUGGGCUGUGCUUAAUGAUGCCCAUAUAUAGCUAAAUAAAGGUACUAAGGCAAGAGAUGGGUUAGUUCAACAAAGGUAAGUAGGGUUAUUAUGAAUAUAGGUCCACCAUUGAACAUUAGUAAAGGAGUGGAGAAACAACAUGACAAUAUUUGGCUUAAACUUUGGAGACUUAUUAAGACAUUACUGAUGAAUUCUACAUGAAAGAAAUUUAAUAACUUAUUUUCAAUAAAGAAAUUAUAUGGGCAAGAUUAUGGUGAAUUAUAAUUUAAUUUUUUGGGGCUAGGUUGUUUUGCUUCAUUUUCAAAGUUAAACCAAUGCUUCAAAUUGUGAAGUAUUAUAUGGACAGAAAUUUAUAUACAUUGAAUAGAAACAGGAACGAAUUGAGUUAUGAUUCACUGAGUAAAAUGAGUUAAAGGAGUUUUGAUUAUUGAUUUGACCAAUUGUUAUUAAUUGGUACCUGCAACAAGAGAGAAAAGAAUGGGACUCUGCUUUAAAUUCUUCUUUUACCUUUAAACAAUAGUAAUUAUUUUCAAUUAGAAAGUGACUGCAAUUGGAUAUUUAUUUGGUCCAUUGGUUAGGGGGUUGGAUUAAAUGGUUGCUAAUAUGAAGCAAUGUCACAUUUUUCAGGAAAUAUCGAGGUCAGGACACUUGACGAUCGAAUUAGUCCUGUGAGUGGAAAAACCCUAAAUAUUUUCAAGUAUUGAUAAAUUAAUUAUACCAAUACAUUAUGUGCAUUUAUAUGUUCGAUUACAUGAUUAUUUUGGAAAUAUUCUUUCAUUCUGAUAUUUGUGAAAUUCAAAGAUUAGAUAUAAAAAUAUUUGUGAUUUGCAAUGUGAGACAUGUGAUAUUAAGAUCGAUCAGAAAAGUACUCGUGAUUAUAUAUUUCUUCUAGUUCAUAGAGGGGCCUCGGCCGUAUUCUAUAUCGCACUAAGGGGUCAACUAGGGAUGAAGGGGUCAUGACCAUGUACAUAUAGUUCACUGAGGGGCCUUGGUUGUGUUCUAGAAUUGAUUAUCAGAGGUCUUUGAGAUCCAUUUUCGUUCACGGAGGGGGACAAAGGCCUGUGGCGAAAGUGCUUGGCCCGAUGGGCGGAUUACAGAUUUUAGUCAAAGGGUAGAUUUUUGAUAGAUUUUCUAGUACAUUUGAUGUGAUGAGGUUAUAGCAUGAUUACCAGCUUAUGUUUAUAUCAUGACUUGAGAUGAUAUUUUAUCGCAUUAUAUGAAUGUCU